GUGCAGCAGUCGAGAAACCUCCGCAAUACACGAAAGUGUGACGGGCCAUCCCGAGUGCCGUCCGCUGAGGACGGCUUUUCCCCAGUGUACAUAGCUGGGGGAAUAAGGAGAGGGCAAGCCUGGUGUCAGCCGCCGCGGUAAUACCAGCUCUCCGAGUGGUGGGGACGCUUAUUGGGCCUAAAGCAUCCGUAGCCGGCUGGGCAAGUCCUCCGUUAAAUCCAACGAUUCAAUCGUUGGGCUGCGGGGGAUACUGUCCAGCUUGGGGGCGGGAGAGGCCGACGGUAUUCCCGGGGUAGGGGUGAAAUCCUAUAAUCCCGGGAGGACCACCAGUGGCGAAGGCUGUCGACUAGAACGCGCCCGACGGUGAGGGAUGAAAGCUGGGGGAGCGAACCGGAUUAGAUA
rnacentral:rRNA from 1 species